GGGGAGCUGAUGGAACGGUAGACAUGUGGGUCUCAAAAACCCAUGCCGCAAGGCGUGAGAGUUCGAUUCUCUCGCUCCCUACCA
rnacentral:tRNA from 1 species